rnacentral:rRNA from 1 species
GACGAACGCUGGCGGCGUGCUUAACACAUGCAAGUCGAACGGAGUGGCGAACGGGUGAGUAACACGUGGGUGACCUGCCCUGCACUUCGGGAUAAGCCUGGGAAACUGGGUCUAAUACCUGCUCUUUUGGGAUGGGCCCGCGGCCUAUCCGCUUGUUGGUGGGGUAAUGGCCUACCAAGGCGGCGACGGGUAGCCGGCCUGAGAGGGUGGACGGCCACAGUGGGACUGAGACACGGCACAGACGGCUACGGGAGGCAGCAGGGGGGAAUAUUGCACAAGGGGCGGAAGGCUGAUGAAGAGACGCCGCGGGGGGGAUGACGGCCUUCGGGGUGUAAACUCCUUGCACCAUAGACGCGGUAGAUGGAGAAGAAGCAACGGCUAACUACGUGCCAGCAGCCGCGGUAAUUC